AGACAGCAAACACUUGAUAAUAUGAGCUGCCACUAUUGUUUAUUAUUUUAUAGAGCAUGAAACAUCAGAAAUCUCCAGAAAAGUGUGUAAUGUCACACAAGAAGCAGCUGAGAUGAGAUUUUAUAUGCAUCAAUUAAUUCAGUCUUCACAGCAACAUGAUUUAUGCACAAUUAUACCUACUUCAUGAAUACAGAACCCGAGACUUAGAGAAGAGCAUGAAACAUCAGAAAGCUCCAGAAACGUGCGUAAUGUCACACACUGAACUGUAGAGAGCGGACGCUUGAUUACUGCGAGGACUCCUGUCUCCGCCAUGUUGUCACUGGGAAAAUGAAGAAUGAGCUAAGUCAGAGCAGAGGGACUGGAGGAAAUAGUACAUAAAGAAGGUGAGAAAAAUCAGGCCAGGUUCCUGGGAGGAAGGAGAGGACCCCAGUGUCUUUGCUGCUCAGCACAGUGGCACUAAGCAAGAUGCCUGCCAGGAGCCAGAUGCAGGACAGGAGCUGGGUAGGUGGGGGACAUAGUCCUUGGAAAAUCACCUCACUGCAAAGCCAAAGAAGUGGGUCUGAGGCCCACUCAGAAGAGGUCUCCAUAUUCCCAGGAACUGAAGUUUAGAAGAAAAGAGCUCGGGGCAGCCUGGAGGCUGGGAGUGCAUGGAGCAGGUGCCGUAGCCUCACGCACUGGGCAUAAGACCUGGAAGUCAAGGGCACAGAGAGGGCCCCAAAGGGCACCUGCUGCACGGAGCUAAGGAGUAGCAUGGGGCAGUAGUCCCCUCAAUGACUUGUCCCCCAUCCCCUGAGGGGCCAUAGGGACAGCUCAGGCACAGCCUGGUCACACGCUGGACCAAAGCUACUGAAGGUAGAAGAGGCACUUGCCUGGACUGAGGGGCUGGUGGAGGCAAGGAGAGCUGUGAUCCCACAUAUAGAUACCUGUAGCAAGGAAGGUCUGAUGUUUCCCUCCAAUGGGGUGGUGGCCAAAACCUGUCUUUAUGCUUCCCC